rfam:Beta vulgaris subsp. vulgaris Bvchr8.sca001.con0042.1, whole genome shotgun sequence.
UGUGAAAACAUCAUUGAGUGCAGCGUUGAUGAAAUUCCACUAGGCCAUUUUUAUCAACGUUGCAUUCAAUUAUGUUUUUA